rnacentral:rRNA from 1 species
AGAGUUUGAUCCUGGCUCCAGAUUGAGCGCUGGCGGUAUGCUUUACACAUGCAAGUCGAACGGAUUAUGGAGCUUGCUCCAUAGUUAGUGGCGAACGGGUGAGUAAUAUAUCGGAACAUAUCCGGAAGUGGGGGAUAACGUAGCGAAAGUUACGCUAAUACCGCAUAUGCCCUGAGGGGGAAAGGGGGGGAUCGCAAGACCUCUCGCUUUCGGAGUGGCCGAUAUCGGAUUAGCUAGAUGGUGAGGUAAAGGCUCACCAUGGCGACGAUCCGUAGCUGGUCUGAGAGGACGACCAGCCACACUGGAACUGAGACACGGUCCAGACUCCUACGGGAGGCAGCAGUGGGGAAUUUUGGACAAUGGGCGAAAGCCUGAUCCAGCCAUACCGCGUGAGUGAAGAAGGCCUUCGGGUUGUAAAGCUCUUUCAGCCGGAAAGAAAUUGCUUCUAUUAAUACUAGGAGUAGAUGACGGUACCGGAAGAAGAAGCACCGGCUAACUACGUGCCAGCAGCCGCGGUAAUACGUAGGGUGCGAGCGUUAAUCGGAAUUACUGGGCGUAAAGGGUCCGCAGGCGGGUAAGCAAGUCGGUGGUGAAAUCCUGCAGCUCAACUGCAGAACUGCCUCCGAUACUGUUUAUCUUGAGUACGAGAGAGGAUGAUGGAAUUCAUGGUGUAGCGGUGAAAUGCGUAGAGAUCAUGAAGAACACCGGUUGCGAAGGCGAUCAUCUGGCUCGUUACUGACGCUCAGGGACGAAAGCGUGGGGAGCAAACAGGAUUAGAUACCCUGGUAGUCC